GGGUGUUACAGCUCUUUCAGAAUUUGUCUAGUAGGCUUUCCAGCUUAUGCCGAAGAGCCCCU
rnacentral:snRNA from 1 species